GAGUCUUAAUUGGGCGUUAAGUUGCAGGGUAUAGACCCGAAACCCGGUGAUCUAGCCAUGGGCAGGUUGAAGGUUGGGUAACACUAACUGGAGGACCGAACCGACUAAUGUUGAAAAAUUAGCGGAUGACCUGUGGCUGGGGGUGAAAGGCCAAUCAAACCGGGAGAUAGCUGGUUCUCCCCGAAAGCUAUUUAGGUAGCGCCUCGUGAAUUCAUCUCCGGGGGUAGAGCACUGUUUCGGCUAGGGGGCCAUCCCGGCUUACCAACCCGAUGCAAACUGCGAAUACCGGAGAAUGUUAUCACGGGAGACACACGGCGGGUGCUAACGUCCGUCGUGAAGAGGGAAACAACCCAGACCGCCAGCUAAGGUCCCAAAGUCAUGGUUAAGUGGGAAACGAUGUGGGAAGGCCCAGACAGCCAGGAUGUUGGCUUAGAAGCAGCCAUCAUUUAAAGAAAGCGUAAUAGCUCACUGGUCGAGUCGGCCUGCGCGGAAGAUGUAACGGGGCUAAACCAUGCACCGAAGCUGCGGCAGCGACACUGUGUGUUGUUGGGUA
rnacentral:rRNA from 2 species